UACGUAGGUGGCGAGCGUUGUCCGGAAUCAUUGGGCGUAAAGAGCUCGUAGGCGGCUUAGUAAGUCGGGUGUGAAAGCCCCGGGCUCAACCUGGGAAUUGCAUUCGAGACUGAAUAGCUAGGGUACGGUAGAGGGAAGCGGAAUUUCCGGUGUAGCGGUGAAAUGCGUAGAUAUCGGAAGGAACAUCAGUGGCGAAAGCGGCUUCCUGGACCAGUACCGACGUUCAGGCACGAAAGCGUGGGGAGCAAACAGG
rnacentral:rRNA from 1 species